AGCGAACGCUGGCGGCAGGCUUAACACAUGCAAGUCGAGCGGGCAUCUUCGGAUGUCAGCGGCAGACGGGUGAGUAACACGUGGGAACGUACCCUUCGGUUCGGAGCAACUCUGGGAAACUGGAGCUAAUACCGGAUACGCCCUUAUGGGGAAAGGUUUACUGCCGAAGGAUCGGCCCGCGUCUGAUUAGCUAGUUGGUGGGGUAACGGCCUACCAAGGCGACGAUCAGUAGCUGGUCUGAGAGGAUGAUCAGCCACACUGGGACUGAGACACGGCCCAGACUCCUACGGGAGGCAGCAGUGGGGAAUAUUGGACAAUGGGCGCAAGCCUGAUCCAGCCAUGCCGCGUGAGUGAUGAAGGCCUUAGGGUUGUAAAGCUCUUUUGUCCGGGACGAUAAUGACGGUACCGGAAGAAUAAGCCCCGGCUAACUUCGUG
rnacentral:rRNA from 1 species